GACGAACGCUGGCGGCGUGCUUAACACAUGCCAGUCGAACGGAAAGGCCCCUUUGGGGGUACUCGAGUGGCGAACGGGUGAGUAACACGUGAGUAACCUGCCCUUGACUUCGGGAUAACUUCAGGAAACUGGGGCUAAUACCGGAUAGGAAUCCUUGCUGCAUGGUGGGGGUUGGAAAGCUUCGGCGGUUUUGGAUGGACUCGCGGCUUAUCAGCUUGUUGGUGGGGGAGUGGCUUACCAAGGCUUUGACGGGUAGCCGGCCUGAGAGGGCGACCGGCCACAAUGGGACUGAGAUACGGCCCAGACUCCUACGGGAGGCAGCAGUGGGGAAUAUUGCACAAUGGGCGGAAGCCUGAUGCAGCAACGCCGCGUGCGGGAUGACGGCCUUCGGGUUGUAAACCGCGUUCAGCAGGGGCGAAGCUUGUGGUGACGGUACCUGCAGAAGAAGCACCGGCUAACUACGUG
rnacentral:rRNA from 1 species